CUCGAGAGGCCGCUCCCUGGAUGGGGGUAAAUCGGCUCUGAGACCCUGCGAGGCGUGUCCGCUGCUCCGGGCGCUUUCGCUGCCAGAGCUCCAGGCCCGCACCCUACCCCCUUCCUGGCGUCAGUCUCUCCUUCUCUCUAACUUCUCAUUGGAAAACGAAGCGACUCUAAGGGAUCGUAUUGAACCUACAGCCCGACGACAUCGCGACCAGUAACCGCCCCCAAACUCCAAACACACCGCAUCCCCCACGCUGGGCCCUCCGUCCCCGCCGCGACAGGUUUCCUCACUCACCCUCUGGAUCGUCUUUCUAUUUACCCAACAAGUAUUGAUGGAGUGCCUGCAGUAUAUACCGGGCUCUGCGCUGGGAAAACCCGAAGAACCGGACAGCUUAGGUGCCACUCAUCAUGGAGCGUCCGCGGGACUUUCUGUUCGCUUGAAGGCUUCCUCCUUUUCAGGACUGUGCUUGAACUUAGAACUUUUCAAUGCUCAGAACACGAUCCAGCAUGAUGAAUUGUUUCUGUGAAGGAGGCAGCUAGAAAGGAACAUUGUCUUCAUUCUCUAGAUAAGAGAACUGAAGGCAGAUAAUUCAGGUGGAAACUUACCCACAGAAACAAAAGGAGUCUUUGAUCUUCACUACAUCUCAGCCUUUCAGGAGCCAUUUGAGCUUGAGGUCAAGAAGGAAGAGCUAAUCCUUUUGUCUUCUGACUUGGUUGGAAUAAUCAUCUAUUACUACGUAACUGAGUACCCCAAAACCUUGUGGCUUAAGGAAGAAUAAAUGUUUGUUAUUUCCGGCAGUUUCUGUGUGUUCG